rnacentral:rRNA from 1 species
GAUGAACGCUGGCGGCGUGCCUAAUACAUGCAAGUCGAGCGAACAGACGAGGAGCUUGCUCCUCUGACGUUAGCGGCGGACGGGUGAGUAACACGUGGAUAACCUACCUAUAAGACUGGGAUAACUUCGGGAAACCGGAGCUAAUACCGGAUAAUAUAUUGAACCGCAUGGUUCAAUAGUGAAAGACGGUUUUGCUGUCACUUAUAGAUGGAUCCGCGCCGCAUUAGCUAGUUGGUAAGGUAACGGCUUACCAAGGCAACGAUGCGUAGCCGACCUGAGAGGGUGACCGGCCACACUGGAACGGAGACACGGUCCAGACUCCUACGGGAGGCAGCAGUAGGGAAUCUUCCGCAAUGGGCGAAAGCCUGACGGAGCAACGCCGCGUGAGUGAUGAAGGUCUUCGGAUCGUAAAACUCUGUUAUUAGGGAAGAACAAAUGUGUAAGUAACUAUGCACGUCUUGACGGUACCUAAUCAGAAAGCCACGGCUAACUACGUG